UCCCAGUAGACGACUGGGUUGAUAGGCCGGAUAUGGAAGCCAGGUAACUGGUGGAGUUGACCGGUACUAAUAGGCCGAGGGCUUGUCCUCGGUUG
rnacentral:rRNA from 1 species